CUUUGCACUUCCGGGUGCAAUUGCUAAUCUAUAGUGGGUAAAACUUGUAUGCCACUUACACAUAAAAGUAUUUUAUAUAACGAAACGCAAAUGGUUUCAUUUUUAACAAGAAUCAAUAAAAGACACUACUGUAUAGACUGAGUGAAUGACGUCAGUAUCCGAUAUAAGUUGUUGGAAUACAAAUGACAUGAUGUAGCUGCUGCAUAAUCGUUUUGGUAUGUGAUUUUAUGGUUGGAUCUUGAGUACUUGUCAUGCCUCUUUAAUUAUUUUGGAGUGUUCAUUACCAGAUAAGAAACCAGCUUGUUAUACCACCGGACACGGUUGAAAGGAAAUGUUCAUACUCAGCCAUGGAUAAGACAAUGGUAGAGACAUGGCAGUCCAUUACAAAUUUUUGCCUGAGUUAAAGCCUCUUAUAACUCUAUGACUUAGGUUAACAGUCUGACUGAAUUGUUGUAUUUUAAUAAAAGCUAAGAUUGAAGACAUUUCAAAGAUGUAUAUAAGUGUGAAAAUGUUAAACAAAAUAUUUACACUAUUAUUACAUAAUAUGCCAUUUUUUUACUUUGCAUAAAUUUAUAUUUGGCUAUCUUUUACACAGAUUAUUUAUUCUCUGCA